rnacentral:rRNA from 1 species
CCUACGGGAGGCAGCAGUGGGGGAUAUUGCACAAUGGGGGGAACCCUGAUGCAGCGACGCCGCGUGGGUGAAGAAGCGCCUCGGCGCGUAAAGCCCUGUCAGCAGGGAAGAAAAUGACGGUACCUGACGAAGAAGCCCCGGCUAACUACGUGCCGGCAGCCGCGGUAAUACGUAGGGGGCAAGCGUUAUCCGGAUUUACUGGGUGUAAAGGGGGCGCAGACGGCGAUGCAAGCCAGGAGUGAAAGCCCGGGGCCCAACCCCGGGACUGCUCUUGGAACUGCGUGGCUGGAGUGCAGGAGGGGCAGGCGGAAUUCCUGGUGUAGCGGUGAAAUGCGUAGAUAUCAGGAGGAACACCGGUGGCGAAGGCGGCCUGCUGGACUGCAACUGACGUUGAGGCCCGAAAGCGUGGGGAGCAAACAGGAUUAGAUACCCGAGUAGUC